UAACCAUGAUGAGGACAAAAGGCUUGUAACUCUUUAUAUCUUUCCCGAGCUUGGUAUAGGUUUUCACUAUCCUUUUGGGAAAUAAAAAGAUUUGCAUCUUGAGGGC
rnacentral:snoRNA from 1 species